GGGGGCGAUCUGGUUUCGACGGGAAGAAUGAGACGGAGGUUGCAUGUACGGGAUGCCGUUGGCCCGUAAAAAAACGGCUAAAACAUAAUCGCUAACGAUUAUGAUGUAGCAGUAGCUGCUUAACUAAUACUUAA
rnacentral:tmRNA from 1 species